rnacentral:rRNA from 1 species
CGAGUCAUUGUAGCAUACAAGGCAUACGGCUCAGUAACGCGUAGUCCCUUAACCUAUGGACGGGAAUAACCUCGGGAAACUGAGAAUCCUGCCCGAUAGAACAUUAUGCCUGGAAUGGUUUAUGUUCCAAAUGAUUUAUCGCCGUAGGAUGGGACUGCGGCCUAUCAGUUUGUUGGUGAGGUAAUGGCCCACCAAGACUAUUACAGGUACGGGCUCUGAGAGGAGUAGCCCGGAGAUGGGUACUGAGACACGGACCCAGGCCCUAUGGGGCGCAGCAGGCGAGAAAACUUUGCAAUGUGCGAAAGCACGACAAGGUUAAUCCGAGUGGUUUCUGCUAAAGAAACCUUUUGUCAGUCCUAGAAGCACUGAUGAAUAAGGGGUGGGCAAGUUCUGGUGUCAGCCGCCGCGGUAAAACCAGCACCUCAAGUGGUCAGGAUGAUUAUUGGGCCUAAAGCAUCCGUAGCCGGCUCUGUAAGUUUUCGGUUAAAUCUGUACGCUCAACGUACAGGCUGCCGGGGAUACUGCAGAGCUAGGGAGUGGGAGAGGUAGACGGUACUCGGUAGGAAGGGGUAAAAUCCUUUGAUCUAUUGAUG